rnacentral:lncRNA from 1 species
GCACCAUUAAAAGGUCUAUAUAUAUAACUGUAACAAUUUCUCUUGUUAAACCUUGAAAGAAGCCAAUCAUAUAAGAUGACAAAUUUGACUUAUCAACAACUUUGCUUGCAUUUGAUUCUUGAAACUUGAAAAACUUCCUGAGAACAAGGCAGUCAUGUUUUCAUACAAGUCAAACCAAGCUUCCUUUGCUUGAGUAUUACCAUGACGAUGACAACGUUAUGGCUUAGAAUUUAAUCAAAUAUUGAAACACUUGUCAGAUGAAGUUAAAAAAAAAAAGAAAAAAAAAGGGAUAUUGUUAUUAUGAUUGUCCAAGAAAAAAUAUAUAGUGAAAUCUUCCAGCAGUUCACACAUAAAUUUUUACCAGCAUAUCUGAAAACUGACAUAGGCAACUAUUUUACAAUAAGAAUUUAUAUCCAGUAAUUAUGUCAAUUCAUGUGAAUAAUGUUUGUGUAGAAUUUAGUGAGAUGGAUGCACCAUCAGUGUGGAUCAUCAACUGCAUAUGAAAACCAAGAAAGCACUAACCUGUAGGCCACAAGGUUUGCUUUCGGUCAAAGAUAAUUUGAUCUCCAUCUGGAUAUUUUUGAAGUGAAUCACUUAAUCAGUCCCGUUUAGACACCUAGCAGGCACGAGAUCUGCAGCUUUGACUGUAUAAAUGAUGCUUCAACAUGUCAAUUUGAAGUUAGGAAGAAGUCUGGGUCUGAAGCUUCUCAUUCCUUGCACAUUCCUCCUGAUAAAUUAUAAGCUCUUUGUAAAAAUUCCGAGUUAAGCAGCAAAGGAAGAUAGUGAGAACUGAAACACAAUAUCCACCCAAAGAUGCAAUUGAAUUCAAAAAAUGAUUUGGGCAAAGAAUUCAGUAUGAACUAGUUAUCUCCUUAUUACUAGCUCAUAUACAGUGUAGCUGAGGAUGACAUCUGCAUUUACAAUUAGGCCAUCAGCGAGCAGGCAAGAUUGACAUCCUUGUUCAACAGAACAUGGAGCAUCAGGGCUUGUAAUUUUAGAACACCAAAUUGUAUUGGUCUGCUAGAUC